UUCUGUGGAUAUUUCAAAAAGGCCUGGUAAAGGACUUGUCAAGUCCUUACCAAUACCCUUACCCAUACCCUUCCCUUAACUCCUCAGUGGAUGGAAUGGAUGGAUUCAAGCAGCAGGAAACGUAGCACAAAGCUUGUCAUCGCACACCUUCACCAGUGUUUACUUCCUUGACUCAGUCCGUGGCAAAGCAGCAACUGCAGGAAACCCCCAAGCAACAGCCACAAGCCAGUGCACGACCAUGGGAAGACUUUCCAAAUGGUUCGUGCUGAUCGGAGUUGUCGCUGCUGUACUCUGGGCCGCCUGGACUUGGCAAUGGAUCCCACUCCUGCAGUCACCGCCAGCCCCACUUCCUCCCCCUCCCCCACCACUCUACCAAGAGAUCUUGGCCUCCUUGUCUGUCCUGAUUGGAGUUGCUGCUGCUGUUCUCUGGGUUGUGGCCUAUCAAAUGCAUCCGACGCCACCCCCACGCCAACGCCCUUCGCACCCUUUCCCACGGCACGAAGGGAUCAUCGCCCACUGUCUUUUCAACUUAUUUUUGAUGAUGGUUGGGAUUGUAUUUUUCGCCACUGUGAUCUACACCGUCGGGGUGCUGCAUUGGAACCCCCAUCCACACCAAGGGGUGCAAGGAAUAUGCAACCUCAUCCUCUUCUGCAUCAAUGCGGCACUAUGCAUAUUGCCCAGCAGUCACGCACGGCGCAAUGGUCUUAAGUACCUGAGGAUCGGGAUUUUGUUAGUUCACCAGUUUUGCCGUUAGGGGGUGGUUGCUGCAGUUAUCACAUCCCCCUUGCUUUGCUGCCCUCAAUCAAAAGACCGUUUCCUAAUAUGGCAAUAUAUUAGACAAUAAAGCCUUUUGAAUCUUCUGAA